ensembl:snoRNA U8 U8 small nucleolar RNA
UCGUCGGGGAGGAUCAUCCUUACCUGUUCCCCCUUCGGGAGGGCAGAUGCCAACGUGAUGAUCAGAGCUCGCGUGAUUCGUGGUUAGUGUCUCGGUGUGGCCAGGACCUGUAGCACCCUGGACACUCCUGUAUGAU